rnacentral:rRNA from 1 species
CCUACGUGCGGCAGCAGUGGGGAAUAUUGGACAAUGGGCGGAACCCUGAUCCAGCGACGCCGCGUGAGUGAAGAAGUAUUUCGGUAUGUAAAGCUCUGUCAGCAGGGAAGAAAUAAAGUCCUUCGGACUUUGGACGGUACCUGACUAAGAAGCCCCGGCUAACUACGUGCCAGCAGCCGCGGUAAUACGUAGGGGGCAAGCGUUAUCCGGAUUUACUUGGUGUAAAGGGAGCGUAGACGGCCGCGCAAGUCUGGAGUGAAAUCCCAUGGCUUAACCAUGGAACUGCUUUGGAAACUGUGCAGCUGGAGUGCAGGAGAGGUAGGCGGAAUUCGUGGUGUAGCGGUGAAAUGCGUAGAUAUUAGGAAGAACACCAGUGGCGAAGGCGGCUUACUGGACUGUAACUGACGUUGAGGCUCGAAAGCGUGGGGAGCAAACAGGAUUAGAUACCCUUGUAGUC